rnacentral:rRNA from 1 species
CUACGGAGGGGGCUAGCGUUGUUCGGAAUUACUGGGCGUAAAGCGCGCGUAGGCGGAUUGAUCAGUCAGGGGUGAAAUCCCGGAGCUUAACUCCGGAACUGCCUUUGAUACUGUCAAUCUUGAGUUCGAGAGAGGUGAGUGGAAUUCCUAGUGUAGAGGUGAAAUUCGUAGAUAUUAGGAAGAACACCAGUGGCGAAGGCGGCUCACUGGCUCGAUACUGACGCUGAGGUGCGAAAGCGUGGGGAGCAAACAGGAUUAGAAACCCUAGUAGUCC